GACGAACGCUGGCGGCGUGCUUAACACAUGCAAGUCGAACGGAAAGGCCCUGCUUGCAGGGUACUCGAGUGGCGAACGGGUGAGUAACACGUGGGUGAUCUGCCCUGCACUUCGGGAUAAGCCUGGGAAACUGGGUCUAAUACCGGAUAGGAGCCAUUUUUAGUGUGAUGGUUGGAAAGUUUUUUCGGUGUAGGAUGAGCUCGCGGCCUAUCAGCUUGUUGGUGGGGUAAUGGCCUACCAAGGCGGCGACGGGUAGCCGGCCUGAGAGGGUGGACGGCCACAUUGGGACUGGGAUACGGCCCAGACGCCUACGGGAGGCAGCAGUGGGGAAUAUUGCACAAUGGGCGCAAGCCUGAUGCAGCGACGCCGCGUGGGGGAUGACGGCCUUCGGGUUGGAAACUCCUUUCGCUAGGGACGAAGCUUUUUGUGACGGUACCUAGAUAAGAAGUACCGGCUAACUACGUG
rnacentral:rRNA from 1 species